AGACAUUUUAUAGAUUGUGAUGUCUGAGCAAGUUUUUCUUAGGCCAUAAUCCUGUCACCUUAGGUCGAUCGGUACCUCUGAUCUAAUAAUUAAUAUUGGAUUUCAGUUCCUAAACUUGUCUAGGUCACACCCAACAAGGUUUCUCCUGGGCCAUUAGCUCAGGUGGUUAGAGCGCACCCCUGAUAAGGGUGAGGUCCCUGGUUCAAGUCCAGGAUGGCCCAUUCGUUGUUGGGGGUAUAGCUCAGUUGGUAGAGCGCCUGCUUUGCAAGCAGGAUGUCAGCGGUUCGAGUCCGCUUACCUCCACUGAAAACUACCCUGAUAACUUCAGGAGAAGAAUUAAAAAUGUGACCUUAAUUUUGUCUAUUGAGAAGAACCUAGCUUCUUAUCAUCUUUUUAUAGUUGAUAAUAUGCUGGGCUCCCAUGGAAUUAUCCAUGAGAAUUCAGUAGAACCUUGAAAACUGCAUAGAUUGAAUGAAUAAAGCAUCUCAUGGAUGCAUAGUUUUGUUUUGUUUUUUAGAUUUAAACCUAAAAAACAUCUACAUAACUCAUGUUUAAUUCUUGAGUAAAAGCCGAGCACAAUAAAUGUGCUCGAAAUUAA
rnacentral:tRNA from 1 species